rnacentral:tRNA from 1 species
GGAGCGUUCUUCUAAUGGUUAGGAACUCACGUUUUCACCGUGACAACAGGGAUUCGACUUCCCUACGCUUCA